AGAGCUUGCUCAGAUAUGACGAUGGACAUUGCAAAGAGUGGCGAACGGGUGAGUAACACGUGGGAAACCUACCUCUUAGCAGGGGAUAACAUUUGGAAACAGAUGCUAAUACCGUAUAACAAUGACAACCGCAUGGUUGUUAUUUAAAAGAUGGUUCUGCUAUCACUAAGAGAUGGUCCCGCGGUGCAUUAGCUAGUUGGUAAGGUAAUGGCUUACCAAGGCGAUGAUGCAUAGCCGAGUUGAGAGACUGAUCGGCCACAAUGGGACUGAGACACGGCCCAUACUCCUACGGGAGGCAGCAGUAGGGAAUCUUCCACAAUGGGCGAAAGCCUGAUGGAGCAACGCCGCGUGUGUGAUGAAGGGUUUCGGCUCGUAAAACACUGUUGUAAGAGAAGAAUGACAUUGAGAGUAACUGUUCAAUGUGUGACGGUAUCUUACCAGAAAGGAACGGCUAAAUACGUGCCAGCAGCCGCGGUAAUACGUAUGUUCCAAGCGUUAUCCGGAUUUAUUGGGCGUAAAGCGAGCGCAGACGGUUAUUUAAGUCUGAAGUGAAAGCCCUCAGCUCAACUGAGGAAUUGCUUUGGAAACUGGAUGACUUGAGUGCAGUAGAGGAAAGUGGAACUCCAUGUGUAGCGGUGAAAUGCGUAGAUAUAUGGAAGAACACCAGUGGCGAAGGCGGCUUUCUGGACUGUAACUGACGUUGAGGCUCGAAAGUGUGGGUAGCAAACAGGAUUAGAUACCCUGGUAGUCCACACCGUA
rnacentral:rRNA from 1 species